rnacentral:misc_RNA from 1 species
UUUCCGCAGGUGAACCUGCGGAAGGAUCAUUGUCGAAACCUGCCCAGCAGAACGACCCGCGAACUUGUAUAAACAACUGGGGGCGGGGGGCGUUCUCGCCCCGUGCCCCCGAACGGCGGGGAGACACUCGUGCCUUCUUGCCGAACAACGAACCCCGGCGCGGUCUGCGCCAAGGAACUUCAACUAAAGAGUGCCUCCGGUCGCCUUGGAAACGGCGUGCGUGCCGGAGGCGAAUCUUGUGCAAAACCAUAACGACUCUCGGCAACGGAUAUCUCGGCUCUC